AGAGUUUGAUCAUGGCUCAGAUUGAACGCUGGCGGUAGGCUUAACACAUGCAAGUCGAGCGAGAAAGUAUCUUCGGAUAUGAGUAGAGCGGCGGACGGGUGAGUAACGCGUAGGAAUCUACCUAGUAGAAGGGGAUAGCCCGGGGAAACUCGGAUUAAUACCGUAUACCUCCUAAGGGAGAAAGAGGGCCUCUCUUGAUGCUCUCGCUAUUAGAUGAGCCUGCGUAAGAUUAGCUUGUUGGUAAGGUAAUGGCUUACCAAGGCUACGAUCUUUAGCUGGUCUGAGAGGACGAUCAGCCACAUUGGGACUGAGACACGGCCCAGACUCCUACGGGAGGCAGCAGUGGGGAAUAUUGGACAAUGGGCGCAAGCCUGAUCCAGCCAUACCGCGUGUGUGAAGAAGGCCUUCGGGUUGUAAAGCACUUUAAGCAGGGAGAAAAAGUUAUAAGUUAAUACCUUGUAACCGUGAUGUUACCUGCAGAAUAAGCACCGGCUAAUUCCGUGCCAGCAGCCGCGGUAAUACGGAAGGUGCAAGCGUUAAUCGGAAUUACUGGGCGUAAAGCGCGCGUAGGUGGUUUGUUAAGUUGGAUGUGAAAGCCCUGGGCUCAACCUAGGAACUGCAUCCAAAACUAA
rnacentral:rRNA from 1 species